CUGUAUAUUUCUUGCGUACGCUCCCUCAACCGUUGCCCCUAAAAUUAUCAAUAUAAACUCACUUCCACCUUCACCUUAAAUCCUCUUCUUUCUUUCUCUCUCUAAAAUUUCUCUGAUUCAAUUGCUGGUUAUAUAAUUGAUACAAUCACAAAUCCAAAUCAAUAAACCCAGAUCAACAAGAUGAAACAUAUCAAUUCAAUUGCGGCGUUUCUAGAAGUGAUUAUCAUGUCGUUGCUGAUGAAUCUCAACCUCAGCCAAUCCAAUCAAUCGAUACUGCUUCCCACUUGACUUCGCUGCUUCUUCACAUAAGGAAACCCUAGAAGCGAAAUCUCAACCUCAGAUUGGGGUCCGGGGACCCCGGUGGCACCAAUGUGGGUCCGCCCCUGCAUGUGUGUAGUAUGGAGCAACAAGGGUGGAUAUUGAUCUUGCUGGCUAACGGUUCUGGGAGCGAAAAGGAGAUCAAAAGGCCAUCAUAUGGCUUCAUUAUCGUACAUGGGAAAUUUGAGAUGAAUCUGAUUGAUGAACAAAAUCUCAGUUUAUAGCAAUUUGUAGAAUCCUUAACCCUCUGUUUUCUUGAUGUGGACUGUCACAAAUCCGGAUUGAGAAUAAAGUUCAUGAUUACAUGAACUCACAAGCCAAAUUCGAAGACAAGAUGUGGGCGAUUCUGAAUGUCUGGCUGAAUGAAGAUCAACUAUGGAUAAUCUUUCUAGAGUCACUCACAAGAUGAAAGAUGUUGACAUCGACAUCCAGAUGGAUAGUAACAAAGACGGGUUUGUUGACUUCAUGGAAUUUGUUGCAGCCACUCUUCAUGUUCAUCAGUUGGAAGAUCAAGACUCGGAAAAAUGGCUACAUUUAUCACCGUCAGCUUUUGAGAAAUUUGAUGUUGACGGGGAUGGAUAUAUAACUCCAGAGGAGCUUAGAAUGAUUUGGUGAUAAGUGGAUCAAUAAGGAGAUGACGACAAUGACGGUGAUGAUAAAUGUUGAAUAUAUGUUCAUGCUUUUGGUUCUGUAUGGUUCCUUAUUUUUGCAAAACCUGAGGUUUAUAUCGUGACAGUUGAAGGAGAGCCAGUGAUAAGUUAUAGGGGUGGCAUUGAUGGUUUUGAAGCUACUGCUGUUGAAUCUGAUCAGAAACUUGAUGUCACUAGGUUAGUGAUCUUAUAACCUCCCUUUACUAACAAUCCACUGCUUAGUAGCUAUCCACUGAUGUACUAACUAUCCACUGAUAACCCCCCUUUACUAACUAUCCACUACUUACUAGCUAUCCACUGAUAUUACUACAUAACAGUGGAUAUUACUAACAUAUCAUAAUAGUGGAUACUACUAACAGUGGAUAUUACUAAAAUAUCAGAAUGGCUAAUGGAAAAAGUUGUUGAGGAGGUAUUUCUUUUUGUGUAUGUAUCGAUUCUUUACUAAAAAAAAUGGCAGUUUUUUUUUUUCAACGUCAGUUGAAGUUUCCUAUGUUUUCUGCAUGUUUUUCGCUACUUGGGUACACUCCCUCAACCGUUGCCCCUAAAAUUAUCAAUAUAAACUCCUUCACCUUCACUUUCAAAUCCUCUUCUUUUUAAAAUUUCUCUGAUUUCGAUUGCUGGUUAUAAUGGAUACAAUCACAAAUCCAAAUCAGUAAGAUGGAACAUAUCAAUUCAAUUGCGGUGUUGAAUCAUUGCUUUAUCCCAAUAAAACUCCCUUCCCUUUUCAUACUUCUGAAGAAUCAUUCUUCGUUUGUUGAAUCAUUGCUUUAUCGUCAACUCUUGGCGGGGUAAAAUUCGGAGGGCUCGUGGUAGAAAUUGAUAGUUUCUACCAUUGAAGCAACCGUGAUUUUGCAGCCAUGUAGUUCAUCAUGCUCGCCACUCAGUUGAAUUGGUACUCACUUCUGUGAAUACCUAUUUAAAUUGCAAAUUAGGGUUUCAAAUUGGGGUUGAGGAUGUUCUGCAACAGGUCCCUUCAUCGCGUUUUCAUUCAAGCGAUUCUUUCGUUCAUACCUCACUCCCCAGUGUCGAUUUUUUUUGUAGAUUUCUCAAGGUGUUUGAUGAAAUGCUACAUAUGAUCAAGUGGAGCAAUUGUUAAAAUUCUCUUUGUUUUAUGAUUCUUAUGUUUUCUGUGUGGGGAUUCGAGGGGUUUCGGAGGGCGAAGAGGGGUUUCGGAAGGGGGUUUGUCGAGUCGAAUUGUUCCUGGUGGAAUGCUGCGGUUAGCGGGUUUGGGAAUUCCGGGAAGGGGAGUGAUACGGGUAAAUGAUCAGUGGUUUAGAAGAUGUUGUUAGGAAUCAGUGGAUCCAUCAACAGUGGAUGAACAACAGAGGUUGUUAAUAACAGUGGAUUAGCAGCAGAGGUGGUUAGCUAACAGUGGAUCAGCAACAGAGUUUGUUAGUUAACAGGGGUUAGCAACAGAGGUUGUUAAUAACAGUGGAUUAGCAGCAGAGGUGGUUAGUUAACAGUGGAUCAACAACAAAGGUUGUUAAUAACAGUGGAUUAGCAGCAGAGGUGGUUAGCUAACAGUGGAUCAGCAACAGAGGUUGUUAGUUAACAGGGGUUAGCAACAGAGGUUGUUAGUUAGUUGGGCGGUUACCUGAAUAUCAGGAGUUUAAGAACAUGGAAGCAUCCCAGAAAUCGUUCCCACGCUCAUCUUCUUCAAUCUUCCAUGGUGGCUAAGGUAAGAUUAUGUUUUCAACGCUUAUCUCUCCAAGCAAUUUUUCUAUUUUUCGUUUGAUUUUUUUACUAAUUGGCGAUCGUGUGAAGUUAAUACAAUAAUUUAAAGUGAUGAAAGGAUAUCAAAUGAAGCAGAAUGUGAAAAUCAGUAGACUAGAGCAAGAAUUGGUUUGAUUCCGUUGGCAAGGAUGACCCCAAUUGAAGAUGAUGAUUAAAAUGGGGAAGGAGUGGAGGAGUUGAUUAAUUGAUUUCCUCUCUCAAAUCUCAACAUCACUGUAAGUUCAAUCUAAUCAUCUCAUCAAUCGAUUGAUUGAUUCUUUUCACCUGGUUGGUAUUAAAUCCCACCACCCCUGCUCUAGUUAUGUAUGGUUGAAGGUUGUGUUGAAAGAGUUCCGAUAUGUCUUCUUUGUUCGAUCACCUCGAACAAAAAACCUCUUCUCAAAUCCCGAAUCAUUCAAUUUCCUCUCUUAAUUCUCUCGGGCUCUGAUUUUGGGGGUUCUUGGUGAUAUAGUCGACUGUCAUGGAACCGAAUUUGGGAGUUCUUGGUGGUAUAUUGGGCUGUCAUGGGAGAAGAAGGCGUGUAUCAGGAAGCAAGGCAUUCACUGUCAAUUAGGUGAAAGAGGAAGUUGAAUCAGCAAUAUAAAAACAUAUAGCUGGUGGAAUGACAAUUUCUUCACUUGAGAUCAAUCAUCUUGAUCGUUAUGUGCUUUCUAUAGCAUAUACUUUUACUCAGACUAGACUAUAUGAUGGCCUUGUAAGAAACCAUUUACAUAUUAAGCCACUGACCAGGGAAGAACGUCAACAUCACCUAUUCCCAGAGCAAAUAAGCACAACUCCGACAAAACAUGCUGAGUAAUGAAUUCAAGGUUGGUGCUUACAAGGUGUUGCGUGAUGGGAUGGGAAGAAGGUGAAGAAGGGCUUGGGAAGGAGAAACAAGGGAUCAAAGGUCAUGUUAAGGUUACUAGCAUGUUUGGGGAUUUUGGAAAAGCCGAAACGAGCUAGUGUUUUCUAGAAAAAGGCUGAACAUCGAUCGAGUAUUUGCAGAGAUUCAGGCCAUGGCGUUUCUGUGGUUUAAGAAUAGGGCGAAAUAAAGGAUUGUUAACUUUUUUUGACAGGGCAUAUGGGCUGAAUGAUGCAAUGUAAGAACAUCUGUUUAAUUUAAGAAGCUUCAGAUGCAAUGUAAGAGCAUCGAUUUAUUAGAAAUUAUAUAUUAUUAUUAUUUUAGCAUGGACUUGAAUGAUGCAAGUUCUUUUUUAAAGGUUUUCAGUAUGUAUUACUUGAUGAGAUCAAAAGGACUGUUAACUUUUCUUGACAGUGCAUAUGGGGUCAAUAUAAAAUUUUAGUCUUUCUAAGGUGUAUUUCUACAUGUGAGGUCUGCGGACCACCAAAUUAUUAUGUGGGAUUAUAUUCUUAUGCAUUUUGAGAUUGCCAAACAGGCAGAGUGUCCCUAUGACAUUACUAUGAUAAUAUUUAACUUGAGUAAUAUUUCAAGUUUGACAUUCCAGAUUUGAAAGUCCAACCUCUUUUGACGGGGCAUCGGAAGUAACUGGAUGUGGGAAUGGAUUUGAAACCCCGGAUCGGAUGCGGAGCUUCAUCAGGUGUCUGUUUGCUAACAUUUGUUUACCAUUGCUUAAUUGUCACACCCCAACCGAUGGCGGAAACAUCGGGAUGAGACGAAGUGUGUAAAGAUUGCUAGAGACGUCAUAACACUAUGUGACAAUAUUUAAUUAAUUUCAAAUUUCAUUUCAAAACUA